rnacentral:rRNA from 1 species
GAUGAACGCUGGCGGCGUGCCUAAUACACGCAAGUCGAGCGAACAGACGAGGAGCUUGCUCCUCUGACGUUAGCGGCGGACGGGUGAGUAACACGUGGAUAACCUACCUAUAAGACUGGGAUAACUUCGGGAAACCGGAGCUAAUACCGGAUAAUAUAUUGAACCGCAUGGUUCAAUAGUGAAAGACGGUUUUGCUGUCACUUAUAGAUGGAUCCGCGCCGCAUUAGCUAGUUGGUAAGGUAACGGCUUACCAAGGCAACGAUGCGUAGCCGACCUGAGAGGGUGAUCGGCCACACUGGAACUGAGACACGGUCCAGACUCCUACGGGAGGCAGCAGUAGGGAAUCCUCCGCAAUGGGCGAAAGCCUGACGGAGCAACGCCGCGUGAGUGAUGAAGGUCUUCGGAUCGUAAAACUCUGUUAUUAGGGAAGAACAAAUGUGUAAGUAACUAUGCACGUCUUGACGGUACCUAAUCAGAAAGCCACGGCUAACUACGUG